rnacentral:rRNA from 1 species
UACGAAGGGUGCAAGCGUUAAUCGGAAUUACUGGGCGUAAAGCGCGCGUAGGUGGUUCAGCAAGUUGGAUGUGAAAUCCCCGGGCUCAACCUGGGAACUGCAUCCAAAACUACUGAGCUAGAGUACGGUAGAGGGUGGUGGAAUUUCCUGUGUAGCGGUGAAAUGCGUAGAUAUAGGAAGGAACACCAGUGGCGAAGGCGACCACCUGGACUGAUACUGACACUGAGAUGCGAGAGCGUGGGGAGCAAACAGGAUUGAUCCCGUAGUC